GCCCACAUAGCUUUAGUGGUAGAGCACUUCCUUGGUAAGGAAGAGGUCGUCGGUUCAAUCCCGGUUGUGGGCU
rnacentral:tRNA from 1 species